AACGAACGCUGGCGGCAGGCUUAACACAUGCAAGUCGAACGGUUGUAGCAAUACAGCAGUGGCAGACGGGUGAGUAACACGUGGGAACCUUCCUAGGGGUACGGAACAACUCAGGGAAACUUGAGCUAAUACCGUAUACGUCCGUGAGGAGAAAGAUUUAUCGCCCUUAGACGGGCCCGCGUCGGAUUAGCUAGUUGGUGGGGUAACGGCCUACCAAGGCGACGAUCCGUAGCUGAUCUUAGAGGAUGAUCAGCCACACUGGGACUGAGACACGGCCCAGACUCCUACGGGAGGCAGCAGUGGGGAAUCUUGGACAAUGGGCGCAAGCCUGAUCCAGCCAUGCCGCGUGAGUGAAGAAGGUCUUCGGAUUGUAAAGCUCUUUUACCAGGGACGAUAAUGACGGUACCUGGAGAAUAAGCCCCGGCAAACUUCGUGCCAGCCGCCGCAGUAAAAC
rnacentral:rRNA from 1 species